rnacentral:rRNA from 1 species
GUGGCGCACGGCUGAGUAACACGUGGGAACCCGCCCCCCGGUGGGGGAUAACGCGACGAAAGUGCUAAUCCCGCAUACGUCCGCAGGGGGAAAGCGCUUCGGCGCGCCGGGGGAGGAGCCUGCAGCCAUCAGGUCGUUGGUGGGGUAACGGCCUACCAAGCCGAUGACGGGUAGCUGGUCUGGGAGGAUGACCAGCCAGACUGGGACUGAGACAAGGCCCAGACUCCUACGGGAGGCAGCAGCAAGGAAUUUUAGGCAAUGGGCGCAAGCUGACCGAGCAACGCCGCGUGCGGGAUGACGGCCUUCGGGUUGUAAACCGCUUUUCGGGGGGACGAUGAUGACGGUACCCCCGGAACAAGCCCCGGCUAACUCUGUGCCAGCAGCCGCGGUAAGACAGAGGGGGCGAGCGUUGUCCGGAGUCACUGGGCGUAAAGCGCGCGCAGGCGGUCGCCAAAGUGUCGUGUGAAAGCCCCCGGCUCAACCGGGGGAGGCCAUGGCAAACUCGGCGACUGGAGCGGCGGAGAGGCCCCUCGAAUUGCCGGUGUAGCGGUGAAAUUCGUAGAGAUCGGCAGGAAGACCAAGGGGGAAGCCAGGGGGCUGGCCGCUGGCUGACGCUGAGGCGCGACAGCGUGGGGGAGCGAACCGGAUUAGAUACCCGGGUAGUCCACGCCGUAAACAAUGAACCACUCGGCGUGCGGCGACUAUUGACGUCGCGGUGCGCCUUAGCUCACGCGCUAAGUGGUCCGCCUGGGAACUACGAGCGCAAGCUUAAAACUCAAAGGAAUUGACGGGGGCCCGCACAAGCAGCGGAGCGUGUGGUUUAAUUCGAGGCAACCCGAAGACCCUUACCCAGGCUUGACAUGACGGUGCAGACGCGGAACCCGCCCUCCAGGCCCGCAAGGCGAUCCAGCC